AAUAAUAUUGUUUGUAGUGGUAGUCAUUAUAGAAUCAGACAUUUUACGUGAUAAAAGGGACUUGGCGAGGUCAUAAAGUACAAGCACUUGAUGCAAGCUCUACUGAACAAUCAUCGUAUCUUUGGAUUUUUCCAAAUGAAUCACCCAUUUGUUCUGUUUAUCAUUCAUGACUUGUGGGAAAUUGUCGUAAAAACCACACUCUUUAUGAGGAUUCGGGCAGGUGUCCUGGAUAAUCACUUGAUCGAGAAGAGAAUCUUAACACCUUGAUCCACUUGGUGUACCCUUGGAACAGACUGUGGGAGCAGCAUAAGAGUGAGAAAGCAAAGGCAGUGAGCAUCUACUUGGAAAUAAGAUCUGCCUGUGGAGCUGCCCAGACGGGU